GUGCUCAAUUGGGCAGAACACACUAAAAAAUGGGAACAGUAGAGAGGAAAAUAUCAUGGCCUUUGUACAAGGAUGACAUGCAAAUUCAUAAAGUUGCACUCUCCCCU
rnacentral:snRNA from 1 species